UACGUAGGGGGCGAGCGUUGCCCGAAUUUACUGGGCGUAAAGCGCACGUAGGCGGCUUCGUAAGUCUGGUGUGAAAUCUCACGGCUCAACCGAGAGGCUGCACCAGAUACUGCGAAGCUCGAGGACGGGAGAGGAGAUUGGAAUUCCCGGUGUAGCGGUGAAAUGCAUUGAUAUCGGGGGGAACACCAGUGGCGAAGGCGGAUCUCUGGCCCGUUGCUGACGCUGAGGUGCGAAAGCUGGGGGAGCGAAAGGG
rnacentral:rRNA from 1 species